GAACGCUUUGUUUACAUGGCCGCCCGUGGCCUCACAAGGAAACCGACCUAGGACGCCCAUCAAAUCCCUCGAACCUAACAAUGGCGUGGACGUCGAGGGAACAGGAAGGAGAUUAAUCUACGCAAACAGUGAAGAUAGUUGGUUACAGCGGUAGACGGUUGGAUAUCUUCAUGUUGGCUAUAUCCUAACCUCGGAAUUGUACCUGUAACUCGUAGCAUGCUGUGAUAUUGGUCCUCGAGCGUGUGUACUGUUCCCUUGCUGAAAGUAAUUCCUAAUGUAAAGGACCUCAGAUUAUUCCAAACAGGAAAUUUCCUUCAGCUCCUAACUAGGAUUGAGUAUUGCACAUAGAA